rnacentral:rRNA from 1 species
AACAAACGCUGGCGGCGUGCCUAAUACAUGCAAGUCGAACGGGGAAAGCUUUCGGGUGAGUACUAGUGGCGCACGGGUGAGGAACGCGUGGAUAAUCUGCCUUAGAGUGGGGGAUAACUAGUCGAAAGAUUAGCUAAUACCGCAUAAGACCACGAGAGCUGCGGCUUUUGAGGUCAAAGGUUUUUCGCUCUAAGAUGAGUCCGCGUAAGAUUAGCUAGUUGGUGAGGUAACGGCUCACCAAGGCGACGAUCUUUAACUGGUCUGAGAGGAUGAUCAGUCACACCGGAACAGAGACACGGACCAGACGCCUACGGGAGGCAGCAGUAGGGAAUAUUGCACAAUGGAGGAAACUCUGAUGCAGCGACGCCGCGUGAGUGAUGAAGGCAUUCGGGUCGUAAAGCUCUGUCGCAGGGGAAUAACACAAUGAAGGUACCCUGUAAGAAAGGAUCGGCUAACUUCGUG